AGGGGAAACGACAUCGAAAGCUUGCUUUCGGUGGGCGUCGACCGGCGCACGGGUGAGUAACGCGUAUCCAACCUGCCCACCACUUGGGGAUAACCUUGCGAAAGUAAGACUAAUACCCAAUGAUAUCUCUAGAAGACAUCUGAAGGAGAUUAAAGAUUUAUCGGUGAUGGAUGGGGAUGCGUCUGAUUAGCUUGUUGGUGGGGUAACGGCCCACCAAGGCUACGAUCAGUAGGGGUUCGUGAGAGGAAGGUCCCCACCAUUGGAACUGAGACACGGUCCAAACUCC
rnacentral:rRNA from 1 species